AGGACGAACGCUGGCGGCGUGCUUAACACAUGCAAGUCGAACGGGGUCCAACCAGUCGCAAGACUGGGGAAGACUUAGUGGCGAACGGGUGAGUAACACGUGAGCAACCUGCCCCGAAGACCGGGAUAACAGCGGGAAACCGCUGCUAAUACCGGAUGCCCCCACCGGGCCGCAUGACCUGGUGAGGAAAUGGAUUCCGCUUCGGGAGGGACUCGCGGCCUAUCAGCUUGUUGGUGGGGUAAUGGCCUACCAAGGCGUCGACGGGUAGCUGGUCUGAGAGGACGAUCAGCCACACUGGGACUGAGACACGGCCCAGACUCCUACGGGAGGCAGCAGUGGGGAAUCUUGCGCAAUGGGCGAAAGCCUGACGCAGCAACGCCGCGUGAGGGACGAAGGCCUUCGGGUUGUAAACCUCUUUCAGCAGGGACGAUUGUGACGGUACCUGCAGAAGAAGCCCCGGCCAACUACGUGCCAGCAGCCGCGGUAA
rnacentral:rRNA from 1 species